rnacentral:rRNA from 1 species
CCUACGGGGGGCAGCAGUGAGGAAUAUUGGUCAAUGGACGAGAGUCUGAACCAGCCAAGUAGCGUGAAGGAUGACUGCCCUAUGGGUUGUAAACCUCUUUUAUGCGGGGAUAAAGGUGUCCACGUGUGGAUGUUUGCAGGUACCGCAUGAAUAAGGACCGGCUAAUUCCGUGCCAGCAGCCGCGGUAAUACGGAAGGUCCGGGCGUUAUCCGGAUUUAUUGGGUUUAAAGGGUGCGCAGGCGGAAUGUCAAGUCAGCGGUAAAAUUUCGGGGCUCAACCCCGUCGUGCCGUUGAAACUGGCGUUCUUGAGUGAGCGAGAAGUAUGCGGAAUGCGUGGUGUAGCGGUGAAAUGCAUAGAUAUCACGCAGAACUCCGAUUGCGAAGGCAGCAUACCGGCGCUCAACUGACGCUCAUGCACGAAAGCGUGGGUAUCGAACAGGAUUAGAUACCCGGGUAGUC